rnacentral:lncRNA from 1 species
GGCAGUUGCAGCAAUUGGCUGUGACGUAGCUGUCAGACUGGCAAAUGGGUUUUCAUCCCUUGACUGGGUGGACAUCAUCAGCACCUCCAUCAAGAUCUGUCCGAUCAAGUCCUUAAAAUCCGAAAACACUUCUUUUGGGUUCUGCUUAAACUGAGCAGAGAGAGAAUUCAGGAAGAUAACAUCUCUGUCUCGGUCCUUCCAAGAGACUCUGAAGAUUUUACAGACCAGCUGUAAAGCUUGCUCCUCGGACACCUCAGACCCAGACAGAGGCUCCUUAUCAGUCAGACUCCUUUUCUCCCUGCGAUCAUUCUCAUCCACUUCCAUGUUCUCAAUUCCUGAAUCCACAUCUACCUGGGACAUACUUUUUUCACAGGAGACACUAUCAAUAUCCAUACUCUGAGACCGAGAGAGAGACUGGGAUUGUGUUUCAAGGCUGUUUGAUGGAGAACUGCUGAGCGAACUCACCCCUUCGCUGCUCUGGCUUCGGUGGGCUACUCCUGAUGCACCAAUCGGAGAGGUAGCUGGGGUCAUGCUGUGGACAUUUAGGCCGAGGCUAUGGGAUGGCCCCGGGGUCGGAGCUGCUGCAGGUGGCCCAGGUGGGGUCUCUCUCUGCGGCGAUGUGAGCGGUGUGCUGGGCUGGGACGAUGGUCCCCCUGCCAGCCGGGCAAGGCGCCUUCGACGGAUCUCGUCCGCGCUCAGCUCCUCCAUCGCCUUCCUCUUAAUGGUGAACGCGAAGGGAGGGCGGGCGCCUUCCUCCGCCCCGCCGACGGGCAGCUCCGCGGAGCGCUCUCCGGCCGCCUCCGCGCCUCACAAGGGCAUCGCCGGGGCGGCCUCGCCUCGCCCGCCGGCAGCCGACCCCUCCGCCGCCCCCGGCCCGCCGCCCGCCGCCCGCCCGCGCCUCGGCUCGGCUCCCGCCGCGCCCCGUGAGGAGCCGCCUGCCGCGUGCCGUGCGCCCGCCCGCGCUCCUCGGCCUCAGCUCCCGUCCGCGCCGCGGCCGUUGCCCCGCGCAGAGAUUAUUCAUCAAAACAAGAGGGCGGCAGCGGCG